rnacentral:rRNA from 1 species
AUGAACGCUAGCGACAGGCCUAACACAUGCAAGUCGAGGGCAGCACAAGGAGCAAUCUGAGGUGGCGACCGGCGCACGGGUGAGUAACACGUAUGCAACCUGCCUGUAAGCGGGGAAUAACCCGUUGAAAGACGGACUAAUACCGCAUAAUACUAAAUUACUGCAUGGUAAUUUAUUUAAACAUUUAUGGCUUACAGAUGGGCAUGCGCAUGAUUAGCUAGUUGGAGAGGUAACGGCUCCCCAAGGCAACGAUCAUUAGGGGUUCUGAGAGGAAGGUCCCCCCACACUGGUACUGAGACACGGACCAGACUCCUACGGGAGGCAGCAGUGAGGAAUAUUGGUCAAUGGACGAGAGUCUGAACCAGCCAAGUCGCGUGCAGGAAGAAUGUUCCCUAUGAAUUGUAAACUGCUUUUGCAGGGGAAUAAAGUGCAUCACGUGUGAUGUUUUGUAUGUACUCUGCGAAUAAGGAUCGGCUAACUCCGUGCCAGCAGCCGC